GACGAACGCUGGCGGCGUGCUUACACAUGCAAGUCGAACGGAAAGGCCCUGCUUUUGUGGGGUGCUCGAGUGGCGAACGGGUGAGUAACACGUGAGUAACCUGCCCUUGACUUUGGGAUAACUUCAGGAAACUGGGGCUAAUACCGGAUAGGAGCUCCUGCUGCAUGGUGGGGGUUGGAAAGUUUCGGCGGUUGGGGAUGGACUCGCGGCUUAUCAGCUUGUUGGUGGGGUAGUGGCUUACCAAGGCUUUGACGGGUAGCCGGCCUGAGGGGGUGACCGGCCACAUUGGGACUGAGAUACGGCCCAGACUCCUACGGGAGGCAGCAGUGGGGAAUAUUGCACAAUGGGCGGAAGCCUGAUGCAGCAACGCCGCGUGCGGGAUGACGGCCUUCGGGUUGUAAACCGCUUUCGCCUGUGACGAAGCGUGAGUGACGGUAAUGGGUAAAGAAGCACCGGCUAACUACGUGCCAGCAGCCGCGGUGAUACGUAGGGUGCGAGCGUUGUCCGGAUUUAUUGGGCGUAAAGGGCUCGUAGGUGGUUGAUCGCGUCGGAAGUGUAAUCUUGGGGCUUAACCCUGAGCGUGCUUUCGAUACGGGUUGACUUGAGGAAGGUAGGGGAGAAUGGAAUUCCUGGUGGAGCGGUGGAAUGCGCAGAUAUCAGGAGGAACACCAGUGGCGAAGGCGGUUCUCUGGGCCUUUCCUGACGCUGAGGAGCGAAAGCGUGGGGAGCGAACAGGCUUAGAUACCCUGGUAGUCCACGCUGUAAACGGUGGGUACUAGGUGUGGGGUCCAUUCCACGGGUUCCGUGCCGUAGCUAACGCUUUAAGUACCCCGCCUGGGGAGUACGGCCGCAAGGCUAAAACUCAAAGGAAUUGACGGGGCCCCGCACAAGCGGCGGAGCAUGCGGAUUAAUUCGAUGCAACGCGUAGAACCUUACCUGGGUUUGACAUGGAUCGGGAGUGCUCAGAGAUGGGUGUGCCUCUUUUGGGGUCGGUUCACAGGUGGUGCAUGCCUGUCGUCAGCUCGUGUCGUGAGAUGUUGGGUUAAGUCCCGCAACGAGCGCAACCCUUGUUCACUGUUGCCAGCACGUUAUGGUGGGGACUCAGUGGAGACCGCCGGGGUCAACUCGGAGGAAGGUGGGGAUGACGUCAAGUCAUCAUGCCCCUUAUGUCCAGGGCUUCACGCAUGCUACAAUGGCUGGUACAGAGAGUGGCGAGCCUGUGAGGGUGAGCGAAUCUCGGAAAGCCGGUCUCAGUUCGGAUUGGGGUCUGCAACUCGACCUCAUGAAGUCGGAGUCGCUAGUAAUCGCAGAUCAGCAACGCUGCGGUGAAUACGUUCCCGGGGCU
rnacentral:rRNA from 1 species